UACGUAGGGGGCAAGCGUUGUCCGGAUUUAUUGGGCGUAAAGAGCACGCAGGCGGUCUUGUAAGUUUCGAGUGACAGGUGGUGGCUUAACUGCCACAGGGCUGGGAAAACUGCAAGACUUGAGAACUUCAGAGGGAUGCGGAAUUCCAGGUGGAGCGGUGAAAUGCGUAGAGAUCUGGAAGAACACCAAAGGCGAAGGCAGCAUCCUGGGAAGAAUCUGACGCUGAGGUGCGAAAGCCAGGGGAGCGAAUGGG
rnacentral:rRNA from 1 species